GUCAUAUGGAUUUCCGGUUGAUCCUGCCGGAGGCCAUUGCUAUCGGAGUCCGAUUUAGCCAUGCUAGUCGCACGAGUUCAUACUCGUGGCAUAUAGCUCAGUAACACGUGGCCAAACUACCCUACAGACCGCAAUAACCUCGGGAAACUGAGGCCAAUAGCGGAUAUAACUCUCAUGCUGGAGUGCCGAGAGUUAGAAACGUUCCGGCGCUGUAGGAUGUGGCUGCGGCCGAUUAGGUAGAUGGUGGGGUAACGGCCCACCAUGCCGAUAAUCGGUACGGGUUGUGAGAGCAAGAACCCGGAGACGGUAUCUGAGACAAGAUACCGGGCCCUACGGGGCGCAGCAGGCGCGAAACCUUUACACUGCACGACAGUGCGAUAGGGGGACUCCGAGUGCGAGGGCAUAUAGCCCUCGCUUUUCUGUACCGUAAGGUGGUACAGGAACAAGGACUGGGCAAGACCGGUGCCAGCCGCCGCGGUAAUACCGGCAGUCCAAGUGAUGGCCGAUAUUAUUGGGCCUAAAGCGUCCGUAGCCGGCCGGACAAGUCCGUUGGGAAAUCGACGCGCUCAACGCGUCGGCGUCCAGCGGAAACUGUCCGGCUUGGGGCCGGAAGACCUGAGGGGUACGUCCGGGGUAGGAGUGAAAUCCUGUAAUCCUGGACGGACCACCAAUGGGGAAACCACCUCAGGAAGACGGACCCGACGGUGAGGGACGAAAGCUAGGGUCUCGAACCGGAUUAGAUACCCGGGUAGUCCUAGCUGUAAACGAUGCUCGCUAGGUGUGCCGUAGGCUAUGAGCCUGCGCUGCGCCCUAGGGAAGCCGAGAAGCGAGCCGCCUGGGAAGUACGUCUGCAAGGAUGAAACUUAAAGGAAUUGGCGGGGGAGCACCACAACCGGAGGAGCCUGCGGUUUAAUUGGACUCAACGCCGGACAUCUCACCGGUCCCGACAGUAGUAAUGACAGUCAGGUUGACGACUUUACUCGACGCUACUGAGAGGAGGUGCAUGGCCGCCGUCAGCUCGUACCGUGAGGCGUCCUGUUAAGUCAGGCAACGAGCGAGACCCGCACUUCUAGUUGCCAGCAAUACCCUUGAGGUAGUUGGGUACACUAGGAGGACUGCCGCUGCUAAAGCGGAGGAAGGAACGGGCAACGGUAGGUCAGUAUGCCCCGAAUGGACCGGGCAACACGCGGGCUACAAUGGCUCUGACAGUGGGAUGCAACGCCGAGAGGCGGAGCUAAUCUCCAAACGGAGUCGUAGUUCGGAUUGCGGGCUGAAACCCGCCCGCAUGAAGCUGGAUUCGGUAGUAAUCGCGUGUCAGAAGCGCGCGGUGAAUACGUCCCUGCUCCUUGCACACACCGCCCGUCAAAGCACCCGAGUGGGGUCCGGAUGAGGCCGUCAUGCGACGGUCGAAUCUGGGCUCCGCAAGGGGGCUUAAGUCGUAACAAGGUAGCCGUAGAGGAAUCUGUGGCUGGAUCACCUCCUUAAUCGGAU
rnacentral:rRNA from 1 species